AAAAUGACUCUCGGCAACGGAUAUCUCGGCUCUUGCAUCGAUGAAGAACGCAGCGAAAUGCGAUACUUGGUGUGAAUUGCAGAAUCCCGUGAACCAUCGAGUCUUUGAACGCAAGUUGCGCCCAAAGCCAUUAGGCUGAGGGCACGCCUGCCUGGGUGUCAC
rnacentral:rRNA from 1 species